CAGUCGCCGCGGGAAUACGUAGGGUGCGAGCGUUAAUCGGAAUUACUGGGCGUAAAGCGUGCGCAGGCGGUUAUAUAAGACAGAUGUGAAAUCCCCGGGCUCAACCUGGGACCUGCAUUUGUGACUGUAUAGCUAGAGUACGGUAGAGGGGGAUGGAAUUCCGCGUGUAGCAGUGAAAUGCGUAGAUAUGCGGAGGAACACCGAUGGCGAAGGCAAUCCCCUGGACCUGUACUGACGCUCAUGCGCGAAAGCGUGGGGAGCAAACAGGAUUAGAUACCCCAGUAGUCCCUGUCUCUUAUAC
rnacentral:rRNA from 1 species